UGGGGAAUAUUGCGCAAUGGGGGCAACCCUGACGCAGCCAUGCCGCGUGAAUGAAGAAGGCCUUCGGGUUGUAAAGUUCUUUCGGUAGCGAGGAAGGCAUUUAGUUUAAUAGACUAGGUGAUUGACGUUAACUACAGAAGAAGCACCGGCUAACUCCGUGCCAGCAGCCGCGGUAAUACGGAGGGUGCGAGCGUUAAUCGGAAUAACUGGGCGUAAAGGGCACGCAGGCGGUGACUUAAGUGAGGUGUGAAAGCCCCGGGCUUAACCUGGGAAUUGCAUUUCAUACUGGGUCGCUAGAGUACUUUAGGGAGGGGUAGAAUUCCACGUGUAGCGGUGAAAUGCGUAGAGAUGUGGAGGAAUACCGAAGGCGAAGGCAGCCCCUUGGGAAUGUACUGACGCUCAUGUGCGAAAGCGGGGGGAGCAAACAGA
rnacentral:rRNA from 1 species